UAAACAAUAUCAAAAGAAGAACGCGUACGUCAUACACGAUGCUCACUCGAAGGAAAAUCCAUUAGGGUCUCGCCGACAUUUCUCACCAACACGAACGCAGGUUCGUGGUUGCAAACAAUCCCAUUUGAUUUUGCCGUGACAGCUGCUCGUGGUUGCAAACAAACCGAGUAAAAGUGUGAGUGAAACGUGCGUGUACGUACACGAUCGCUGAAAGCCAUCAUAAAGAAAAUCCGUCGAACUUGAACGUUUUUGAAGUACUUAUCAGCUUCGUAAAUCGGUUCUCAUCGGUGGUAUAAACCUGUAUAAAGGACGAGCUCGUAGGCGGUUUACAAUCCUCCGGCUGGAUCGCGUAUAGGAUGCACUUUACGAGCCAAAGAAAGGUUGAUGGAAAUGAACGAAUUCGACUAUUGAUUUUGGGUAGAGGGCUCCUCCGAACGUAGAUUGUUGAUCCCAACUAGCCGUGCUCGGCCAAACUUAUGGGAGAAAAAACGGGAAUCAGUAAAAUGAUAGACGCAAUAAAUCAAUCAUCA